GAAGGUAUAGCUCAGUGGUAGAGUGUGUGCUUAGCAUGCAGUGGGUCCUAGGUUCAAUCCCCAGUACCUCCA
rnacentral:tRNA from 1 species